rnacentral:rRNA from 1 species
AUGCCAAAUCCUCCCACAAAUGCUCAUGUUGACUCACUGAAAACAAUUGCUGAUUUUCCCAAAGAAGUGGAUAAGAGAGCCAAGGCCGCAAAGAGAAAUGAAGUGGAACAGAGAAAUCUUGAGUUGACUCAACAAGACGUGCAAGAGAAGAAGGAUCGGGCUUUUGCCCGAAAAAGGAAGUUUGUUUCUCCUCAAGCCUCUAUAAAGAAAUCUGUUGCAAGAGAAUCCAAGAAGGCAGCUUCUGCUUCUGAGUCCUCCGAUGAGAAUGCUCCCAAAGAAAUAUCGAUGUAUAACCAGCGAGCUCUUCUUGACAAGCCAUAUCAAACUCGUUCACCAGCAAAGGUUUCACCUCCGUUCAGAAUGUCACCAAGGCUUGCUCCUGCUGGAGUCUCAGACCCUUCGGGUUCUGCUGCCCCUUCUGCGAAGAUAAAGUUGUUGCCUGAAGAGAAAGCUAUUGUUGCUAUCAAGAAGGCCAAAUCUAGGGUUCCUGCUUCCACAAAGGAACAAAAGCAUGACUUUGAGUUCAUGAUUGAUCUUGUUGAAUGUGCUGCCUACGAUGCCAAAUCAGCUGAUUUGAGCAGUUUGGAUUUGCCUGAUGAUGUUAUCAAAUUGGUAGCAAAACAUUUCACGGAGCUGGGAGAGAUCACCAAGGAGCUAAACCAAGCUGUUGAGGAUAUGAAAACCCUCGAGCAAAUGAGGAGAGAUGCAUGCAUAGAAUCUGAAAGAAAGAGCCUGAACAAGGAGAUUCUUGAGCUCACCAAAGCCCUCACUGUUAUGAGGAAUAAUAAGAUUGAGUGGCACACUAAGCUAAAAAUGGACAUUUCCCAGCUGUGUGAUCGAAGGCAUGAAGAGAUUGAACGUCAAGUGGUAAUUGCUCGAUGA